AAAAUGCCCGCCUCUGCAGUGCCAGCCUUUACAGCCUCUAAAGUGCCCUCCUCUGCAGUGCCUGCCUCUACAGGUUGUUCUACGUCUACACAGGUGGUACAACAAGUGCCUGCGGAUAUUGUCUUCCUUCUGGAUGGAUCUACGAGUGUGAAAGCAGACCAGUUCAUUCGCAUGAAGGAAUUUGUAAUUUUGUUAAUAGAAAAGGAUUUGAAAAACAGGUGGACAGUAUUGUCCAGAGGCAAGGAGGCACAAACACUGGAAAUGCUGUUGGGAAAGUUGUGAAAUAUAUGUUUCAUUCUUUUGCUGGAGCAAGACCUGGUGCCAAAAGGAUCCUCAUUAUCAUCACAGAUGGGCAAACCUAUGACUCUUCAACAUAUCCCAGUGUCACAGCAAAGGCUGAUGGAAAAAAGAUUACUAGAUACGCUAUUGGGGUUGGCAGUGCAUGGACCAGCCGGACGGCACGAAACCAGCUCAAUGCCAUUGCAUCCAAACCAGAAUCAGACCAUGUGUUUGAAGUGGACAACUUUGAUGCACUCAACAACAUCAGAAAGGCACUGGAGAAUCAACUCUUGAACAUACAAGGCAUGCCCACCGUUAAUCAAGAUGCUGGAGGUGUAGCUUGUGUCUUCCCUUUUGUCUAAUUGGGCACACUCCACUGGACAUGUACUAGAAUCAACCAUAACAAGCCUUGGUGUUCAACCACAGGCAACUUUGACCAGGAUGGGCAAGGGGGAGAAUGCUGCGUUGAAGCUGGGGAACACUUGGGUGUGUGAUGGUAAAUGUAUACUGUUUUAAUAAAAUAUGAACUUUGAAAACAGAA